CCCCUUAUCAGUUUACUUACUGUUAAAGAGUCAAGAACACCUCCCUUCUUGUAUUAAAAAAAAUAGGACUAGGAAAAAUGGAUGCAGGGAUGCAAGUAGCACUUCCCAUACUAGGAGUUGUAGCUGCUGCUGCUGCUACUUUCUAUGUUGUAAGCUUUUCUGAGCUUAGAGAGAAAUCAUUUAGAGAUUUGGAAGAGUCUGAGGGUGGAGGGUUUGAGUCAUCUCUAAGCUCAAGAAAAAGGAGAGCAAGAAGAAAGGCUGAAAAAGAAGCCAAGAAGUGAGAGGACAAAGAAAGUCUGCAUAUGAAUGAUCUUCUGCUCACUUGCUUUUUGUUAAACAUUCUCAUGGAAGUUGAGACUUGAUUUUCAUAUAUAUAUAUAUAUAUAUAUAUAUAUAUAUAUAUAUCUUGGUAAUUAGAUCAGAAACUUGGUUUUGAAUAGUUGUUGUAAUUGAAAUACCAUCAUAAUCUUAGAACAAAUCCAACACUUUCAAUAUCUUAAUUAGCUCCUAUUUUAUCU